GGAGAGGAUACUACCAACGCUU
rnacentral:snRNA from 1 species